GGAAAUAAGUCUGACAAAAGAAUUACUUUGAUAGAGUAAACAACAGAGGUUAAAAUCCUCUUAUUUCUA
rfam:Chlorocebus sabaeus isolate 1994-021 chromosome 12, whole genome shotgun sequence.